AUUCCUUCUACUGUUAUAUGGCUUUCAGACACAAGGUGGAGCCACUGAGCCACUUCUGUGUAUACUGAGUCCUAAAUAAAAUGUUAGAAAACAACCCACAGACAUUGUAGCUGCUAACCACAUCCUUUGGUCUACCAAUCACUGUACUUAAAAAAAAAAAAAAAACUUACCAGGAGAAACAACUUGGCUACGUUUCUUCAAACCUUCUUAUACAGGGGAUUGUGCAGCACUAAGCCCAGAAGCUGAUCAGAAUCAACAAAUUUUAUGCAAGAAAAUGCCUCUCCAUUGGACUGCGGCUCUGUUAAUCAUAUCAGUGGGUUCUCUGGGCAGAGCUCAGAAGAUCAACCAGACAAUGUCAGCUGUAGCAUUUGAUGGAGCAUCACACAGCCUUACUUGCACCCUCUCUUCUGUUACCACGGAGAUGAUCCAGUGGUACUGGCAGUUCCCUGGGGAAAGGCCUCAGUAUAUUGGUGGCACAUAUCCAGGGGACCCUACGGAGAGUGCAGAUCCAAAGAGCACAGUGUACUUCGCGAAAGACAAGAAAUCUUCCACACUUCUGCUCCAUGAUGUCACUCUGGCAGAGGCUGCAUUCUACUUCUGCGCUCUGAGUGACACACAGUGUGUUCAGGAGGGACUGUCUCCAUGCAAUAACCUUUGUCAAAGACUGAGCAGAGGAGGAGGUAAAACAGACUAUGAUGGAGCAGGCAGAGCAAGGAGGACUGUCCAUAGACAACAUGCACAAAGUUGAACAUUGAACAUAGUAGGUAGCUGCUUUGUCCUGAGUUAGCAAAAAACCUACCGUGGAGAACCUAUUCCUUGACCAAUAACCAAAGAGAGAGCGUAGACUUAGAAUAGAAAGCUUAUGGAUGCAGAACAGGAGCAAAAAGAAGAGAAAGAAGUAGAACAUUUGAGCUUGUAUCUUGCUGCAUUACAGAAGGAUUGUAAAGUAUCUUUCAUAGAUGAUAUCUGCGGCAGCAACUUAGUUCAUUGUAUUGCCUUACCUAAAUCCACGCUCAAAGAGAAACUUUCCAAAUAGAUGCCACGGAAGGCGACUUGUCUCAAGUCGAAACGCGUCUGGCAAAUUAGUUGAGAUAUGUGGUGUAUUUUAUCUUUGCAUUUUAUACUUCUGUAUUAGAAUACCCUUGUAAUUUCUUACUGUGUUGUCAUUGGGAGUGCAUGUACAUCUUGUCAGCACAGCAAGCAGUUUACCUCACAAUUUGUGGGAGCAAACGGCAUGUAGAUUACAAAUUGGUAUUAAUUGUGCAUUCUGUGGGCUUUCAUCGAUAGACCA